rnacentral:lncRNA from 1 species
AUGGUAUCCAGGAUCCGUAGAACACAUCAUCUGCUCCCCCCCACACCUGGACCUGCCUUCUCUGCAAUGGACUGGAAGACAGGGGCUGGUCUCCACACAGUUCAGCCAUGGAGCAUCUUGUCUAGCAUUUGCUGCCAGAUCCCAAGGCAUCUCAAACAGAAAAACGCCAGGUAUCAGAAGAAAAGAACCCCUGAGAAAGCGCCAGCUUCUGGGACAACAGCAUAAGUCACGCCUUCAACCUCCAGUCCUCUGCAAUGAACAAGGAGAAAACAAUUGUGCUUCCUGUGGCCACCAUGACACCUUUAUCACAGCCCAUGGGCCACGGAGUGACUCGGGCCCUGUCUAGCUCUUUCUUAAAAUGUGCAUUUUCACAGCACAUGGGGGUAGUUGCCAGUGACGCUUGCUACUUCCCAAGGGAGUACUGAUGCAUUUCUAAUACCGGGAUGAAAACCAAUACAAGACCAUGGAGAGAAGCGACUUCUCAAAUGCUAGUGCCUUGCAGAUGUUGUGGCUGAAUCUGUUUUUUUAAGAGACAGAGUCCUGCUCUGUCACCCAGGCUGGAGUGCAGUGGCGCAACUUUGUCUCCUGCAGUCUUAACCUCCUGGGCUCAAGCACUAAUUCUCCCACCUCAGCCUCCUGAGUAGCUGGGACCACAGGCAAGUGUCACCACACCUGCCUAAUUUUUAAAACCAUUAUUUGUAGAGAUGGAGUCUUGCUAAUAUAGCAAGGCUGUUCUUGAACUCCCAGCCUCAAGCGAUCCACCCACCUUGGUCUCCCAAAUCGUCAGGAUUACAGUCAUGAGUCAUGGCACCCAGCCAUAGACUAAAUCACUGUCCUAGUUGUGACCUCAGGACGCCUCAGAUUUGCCAUGUCAGAGUUUGCAUGGUCAUCUGGUUUAAUGAUGAUUAAACUGCUGUUGAAGAUGCUUCAUAGCAGUUCUUAAAUUACCAUGACGAGACAUUAGCAAUCGAGGCCCUCAAAGAGUUGCCCCAAAUAAGUAUAAGACAACGGAGCCUCUCACCAAAAAGAUUCCCCCAGACUCUUUCAAAUACAGAAGGUGGUCGGGUGCAGUGGCUCAUGCCUGCAAUUCUAGCAUUUUGGGAGGUGAAAGUGGGAAAACUGAGCCCAAGAGUUCAAGACCAGCCUGGGCAAAGUAGUGAGACUCUGUCUCUACAGAAUGUUCUAAAAUUGCCCAGGGAAGGUGGUGCAUGCUUGUAGUCCCAGCUACUCAGGAGGCGGAGGUGGGAGGAUCCUUUAAGCCUGGGAGAUGGAACUCAGGAGGCUGAGGUGGGAGGAUCCUUUAAGCCUGGGAGAUGGAGGCUGCAGUGAGCUGUGAUUGUGCCCCUGUGCUCCCACCUGGGUGACAGAACAGAAGUGCCAGCCUAAUGUCAGUUCUUAAAGGACAGGGCUAACUCAGGUAUUUCUACAUCACCAUGAAGAGCUCAUGGGGGUGGUGGGAGGAAGUAGAUACUGAAGUCAUCUUUUUCAGAAGUUAUUACCUGUUUGUUCCAGAGAAGAUUAAAAUGAGGCAUCUCUCUCCUGGUGUCUUCUCCCCCAGACUCCUCCACAGCUUUUUUUUAAGAUUCCAGAGCAAAAACAAUAGCAGAGUUGUCAUGGUCACAAAUAACUGAUGGCCACAAAUGCAUGAUUAUCAACAUAAGAUCAUUUAUAUUUUAAAGCGGGGUGUACCAAAUUAGUAAAACAUGCAUACACAGGUCAACAGAGGUUGCCGUAGAGAUGGUCAGCUAUAUUGCACCCAGUUUUAUUGUUUGUCAUUGCUUGGAAGUACAUUCACGGUAAUUCUCAUCUUCCCAGAAUGCUAAAACAUGAAUGCACACACACAGGCUAGACAACAGUCAAGUGUCACGUUCCUAUAACAUUUAGGUGAUGCUCUUAUUUCAUUUGUGCUCUUGGAACCAUGAAAACUCAGAGCUGCAGGAACUCUCUGUUCAGAGUAUUAUUCAACUCAUUACUUUUAUAGCUGUAGAGAAUGAGGUUAAGGCCAGAAUGGAGGCUAGGAGGAGGGUUCUGACCAGAACCCAAGUGAGCCUCUUUUCCUGAGGGUAAGAUGUUAUGAAAAAGACCCCGGGCCACAGGGUGCAGUGGGUCAUGCCUGUAAUCCCAGCACUUUGGAAGUCCGAGGUGGGGGGAUCACCUGAGGUCAGGAGUUCAAGACCAGCCCGGCCAAUAUGGUGAAACCCUGUCUCUACUAAAAAUAUAAAAAUUAGCCGGGUGUGGUGGCGCAUGCCUGUAAUCCCAGCUACUCGGUAGGCUGAGGCAGGAGAAUUGCUUGAACCCAGGAGGCAGAGGUCCAGUGAGCCAAGAUCGCACCAUUGCACUCCAGCCUGAGAAGCAAGAGCAAAACUCCGUCUCAAAAAAAAAAAAAAAAAAGAAAAAAAAGAAAAAGAAAAAGAAAAGAAAAGAAAAAAGAAAAAGAAAAGAAAAGAAAAAGACACCUGGGAAAUGCAAUCGUCAGACCAAGGAAGGAUUCUGUGACAUUUGAGAAUGAUGUCUAUCACACAUAAAGCACCAUUUUUAGGACAUUACAGAGCUCUGGGAUGUGAAUUGUUCUUUUAUCUCUAAUGUGUUCAUCUAAAUGCUUUAAGAGUGCAAGUAUUACUUUUUGGAGCUAUACUUGCAGUGAAAUUAUUAAGUGACAGCUGUAGUUUUUCAAAUUGUGCUUCCAAAAUAACUCCUAAUUUCUUGAGAAUACUCAUAAAAUUCUAACUUAAAAAAAACAACCAGACAUACUUUGCACAAAUCCUACAAGAAGAGACUGUUGGAGGAAAAGUGGGGGCAGAGAGCAGAAGGAAUGUUUUUAGAAGAGUGAAAAAUGAGAAACAUCACAGCAUUCCAAUGAGAAAUUAAAGAUGUCUCUUCUUUCCUCAAAAAGCUCUCUGGAGCAUGGUGCAGUGGCUCAUACCUGUAAUCCCAGCACUUUGGGAGGCUGAGGCAGGAGGAUCACUUGAGACCAGGAGUUUGAGAACAGCCUGGGCAACAUAGCAAGACCUCCAUCUCUUCAAAAAAUGCAAACAUUAGCUGGGCGUGGUGGCUCAUCCCUGUAAUCCCAGCACUUUAGGAGGCUGAGGUAGGAGGAUUUCGUGAGCCCAGGAGUUCGAGACUAGCCUGGGCAACAGAGGGAGGUCUCGUCUCUACAAAAAUAAAAAAUUAGCCAGGUUUGGUGGCAUAUGCCUGUAGUCCUAGGUACUCGGGAGACUGAGGUGGGAAAACCGCUUGAGCCCAGCAGGUCAAGGCUGCAGUGAGCUAUGAUCGUGCCUGGGUAACAGAGCGAGAGAUCCUGUCUCAAAAGAAAAAAAGAAAAAAGCUCUCUGGAGAACACAAUAGCUGUGGAUUCAGAGCACUCUUCUCGCAUGCUCAGAUCCCUUUGCUGCAAUUAGAGCUUCAGAUGUAGUCAAUGCCAAGUAACACAUGCACUGAAUACAUUUCUUUAUUAUCUAUUUAAUAAAGUAAAUCCCAUCAAGGUAGCCUACUUGCUGGGAUCUGAUGCUACUGAGCAGUUCCCUAGC